CACCAACACAGCACCAACAGAAAAACACCAACAACAACAAAUGAUGCAGCGUGCGGUGAUCGCCAUCUUUGUGCUCGUCCUUGUGGCUUGCGCUUUGGUUGCCGUUGAAGCCCAGUUCGGCGGCGGCGGGUUUGGAGGUGGAUUCCGUGGUGGCUUCGGCGGUGGUGGCCCUAGCUUCGGUGGUGGAUUCGGUGGUAACUUCCCUGGAUUCGGUGGCGGCGGCUUCCCUGGAUUCGGUGGUGGUCGUGGAUUCGGCGGUGGACGCGGAUUCCGUGGUGGCCGUGGAUUCUAUGGUUGAUCAUUCUACAGACUGUUUCAACUGAAGGCACGACGAGGUCACAUUCCUGCAAGGAAGCUACCGUCCAGGCUGUCUGCCAUUGAAUUUGUAAAAUAAGACAGACGUGUGCGACGAACUCUGCUGGUCAAAGGACGUGAAUAAACACUUUUCGAAACUGCGAAA